GACGUAGGGCGCAAGCGUUGUCCGGAUUUAUUGGGCGUAAAGAGCUCGCAGGCGGCUGGUCGCGUCGACUGUGAAAACCCGUGGCUCAACCAUGUGGUCUGCAGUCGAUACGGGCAGGCUAGAAUGCGGUAGGGGAGACUGGAAUUCCUGGUGUAGCGGUGAAAUGCGCAGAUAUCAGGAGGAACACCGGUGGCGAAGGCGGGUCUCUGGGCCGAUAUUGACGCUGAGGAGCGAAAGCGUGGGGAGCGAACAGG
rnacentral:rRNA from 1 species